GCAGAGACACCAUCUGGCAGCUGUGCCUUCUAGGGCAUGUGGCCAUGUAAGUGACUGCAGUGUGGAAAGGAUGACAGCAUGGAGAUCCCACAGCCCCUCUUCUAUGCUCUGGCUGAGAAGAGACACAUGUCACUUUGGUUCUUUGCUCCCUGCCCAGAACCAGUCGCGGGAGACAAACUGUGCACCAAGAAGGGGAUAUGAGUCAGAUAUUUGUGAGUACCAGGAUAUCUACUACUGCAGGGGAGGCACAUGUCUGAGUGGGAGAUAAGGAGUUUUUCCUUGUAUGUGGUAAAUAUUGAAUAUCCAAGUGGAUAACUGCACUGGGGUAUUAGAGCCCAGGACUCAGGGAGAGAAGCUGGGGCUUGAUAUAGAAAUGUACAGUUGCUAGUGAAUAUCUUUUACUCUGUUUCAUGUCCUAAUUUUGCAUUUUGAAUACAGCAAUGACAAAAAUGCAAUUAUUCCCUCACCCCAGAUUUGCUUAAAGGACACAUGAUAUUCCCAUCAAUUUCCAUUUAAGUACCUAGGAAAGUGCUCCUAGGAACAGCCCACCUGUGCUUGGCCCUGGGCUGUCUUCACAACCAUGCAUCCAAUUAGUCCCAUAGCAACCAUUUAUUCAUGCCACAAAUAUGUCCUGAGCACCUACUAUGUUCCAGGUACAGAACAAUUUCAUGAGUUUGUAAACUUUUCACACACUUGUCUCUGCACAUUUGCUAGAGCUGCCGUUUUGUGGUGUGUCUUUGGUAUCCCAUCUGCCUGGAAAACUCCUAUGCACUCCUCAAGGCCCAUCUCAAUUUCACUGCCAUUGUGAAGCAUUUGCUCACAUCUCACUUGUCUCCCCAGAAAAGUUCUCUGCCCCCUCCUCUGGUGCCCUGCUGUGACAUCUCAGUUGUUGCCCUGUUGGUCUCCCCACUAGAACUGAAUUACACAGGGGGUGACUUAUUCAUUUAUUCGAUAAACACUUAGCAAAGGAAAACUGUGUUUUACCAUAUAGAGGCCAUGGAACAGAUCGGCUGUCAGUCUUCUUCAUGUUAGCCACACCCAGCUUGGGUUGAGUACGUCAACCCAUGGUUGGCCAUGAUAACGUCCUCCUCUAAGCACUCAUGCCCACUCUGUGCCUUGCACGAUGCUUUGUAUUUUACAAGUAGCUUCUCACUGGCUUCUCUGCCCUCACCUGUACUCCUCUGCCCCAAGUCUGUUAAAAACACAGCAGCCAAAUAACCCUUUGAAAAGUGUCUUGAGGUCUUCUUUACUCUUUCAGUAAAUGGAUACUAUA
rnacentral:lncRNA from 1 species